GGAGGGAUGGCCGAGUGGUUGAUGGCGGUAGUCUUGAAAACUACUAUGCGCGCAAGCGUAUCGGGGGUUCAAAUCCUCCUCCCUCCG
rfam:Candidate division WOR-1 bacterium RIFCSPLOWO2_02_FTLL_46_20 rifcsplowo2_02_scaffold_6961, whole genome shotgun sequence.